rnacentral:lncRNA from 1 species
UCUGACCGAUAAUUUUAGCAUCGGUGUCACCCUUGCUAACAGCAUCGAGUACAUUACUGUAGAGUUCGGCUCUCAAAACAUCUUGGUUAUUCCUCGUCCAUCUUAGUCGAUCCUCCUCGAUUGUCGUAAAAACGUCCACAGCAUAUUGAUGGAGGAGACGACCGCCUUUAACCAAUGUCAUCCCUUGGUUAAGACGUGUCUGUAUCUGAGCAGCGUAGUAUUGGCGUAUGGUCAGGAAUUGCCUUGUUCUUGAAGUGCCUAUCUCAAGUUGUAAUGGGAUUUCGGGGUGGAAUCCAUACUCACCAUAUGGAAAGAGUAGAGGAUAUUGGAGAAUCAUGUAUAGAGGGUGAUUGUCACGUAUCUGCUGCAAAGUGUCAGAUUGGAAUUGG